AAAGUAGGUUCUGUUCUGCAACAAUGGUUUCUGGGCCACGCGUUGCACAGAAUCAGCAGGAGGGUGACAGCCCGCUACCGCCUGUGGUGGGCAUCUCUUACGCUCCUACUUCCCACAGAGAGAUAAAGAAAUGAAAAUAGACCCUGAAAAAAGAGGAAGUCGGAGCAGAGGAAGGGAGUGGUGGGUGAGCUCAGAAGGGGCAGAACCCUUCCCCGAAUGAGCCCUUCGUUCCACAUGGUUGCCAGCCCUUGAGAUCUAUUUGAGGACAAAAGAUGAUCUGCUGAGCACCCUCCGCCAACGGGGCCUGGGAACCAUCAGCACAGUGGUGGAGAUCUUGCCGGCGCCGGACGGGAUGAACCUGUGGCCGGACAAAACCCUUCUGCCCGGGACGCUUUUCGUCCUCCUGUUUCUGGGGUCCACAGCAACAUCAUCCAUUUCCGUAAUCCAGAAACCCACCUUUGUAAACCUAACAGAAGGGUCAAUGCUGAAUAUGGAAUGCUGGGUUGACGGAAACCUCACUCGCACAUGGUCUAUCACCUGGCAUAAUGAUGAAUGUGAUGGAGAGAAGAAAUUAACAAAUACAAGCCGAAUUCUAAUAACUCCAAAUGAAGCAGAGAAAAGCAGCCACUUUAGUCUGAAGAGAGCAGAUAUACAGGAUGCUGGGAACUACGUGUGUUGUUUUGGCAAUAUAGAGACCACCAAGGCUGCUGAUAACGGGACACGAGUGGCCAUUCGCGGUAAGUAGUGACCGUCCUUACCGACACCCCUUUGGAGUUUAGGGAGCUCAGGUGGUCUUACGCUCGUAAAUGUUAGGCAG
rnacentral:lncRNA from 1 species